rfam:Medicago truncatula strain A17 chromosome 4, whole genome shotgun sequence.
UAGUAGUGUGACAUGCCCGUUUGGGUUGAACUCUGAUGUUGUGUAUUUAAUUAUUAUUAAUUACUUUUUGGUAACGGGGUGUUACACAUAUU